GCGCGGUUUACACGAGAAAACACAAUCCACACGCGGCGCACGAGACGGCGGUGUCCGCGCUGUAACUACGGAAGGAGACGUGGUCCGCGGGUUCUCAGGUUGAUGACGAUGAUGAAGGUUCAGCACGUGUGGCAGGUGCACAGAGUUGCGGUUGGUGGGUGGCUCGUCCUCGUCCACCUCGUCGAUCAGGGGGAUGUGCGUCUCGGAGUCGUCGAUCCUGAACUCGGGGUGAGUCAUGAAGUUGUGGAUGGAACUUCGUGAUUCAGGCGUCUCCAGUCCCUCGUAUGGAGACACACUGUCUCUGAAGGCAUUCACCACACGGAUCUGAGGACACAGACACACGGGACGUGAGAACAAGUCACAAACAAAUCUCUAGUAUGUGCUCGUCAUACAGUAUGUGCUGCUUGUUCAUUAUAGGUGCUUAUCAGUGCUCGAGCUGCUAUGAUCUCUGAAGUGAACCUGUGUGUCAGUGGAUCUGACUGCUCAGCCAAUGAUGUGACCUGUGUCUGUAUGCGGCUGAAUCCUCGGCACCACAGCACGCGGCUCUUCUUCAGCUCCAUCUCUGCGUGGUCGAUCUCAAAGUCGUCCUUCUGAGGCUCCAGCUCCUCCUCCG